rnacentral:rRNA from 1 species
AUUGAACGCUGGCGGCAGGCUUAACACAUGCAAGUCGAGCGGGGGGAGGUAGCUUGCUACCUAACCUAGCGGCGGACGGGUGAGUAAUGCUUAGGAAUCUGCCUAUUAGCGGGGGACAACAUUUCGAAAGGGAUGCUAAUACCGCAUACGCCCUAAGGGGGAAAGCAGGGGAUAUUCGGACCUUGCGCUAAUAGAUGAGCCGAAGUCGGAUUAGCUAGUUGGUGGGGUAAAGGCCGACCAAGGCGACGAUCUGUAGCGGGUCUGAGAGGAUGAUCCGCCACACUGGGACUGAGACACGGCCCAGACUCCUACGGGAGGCAGCAGUGGGGAAUAUUGGACAAUGGGGGGAACCCUGAUCCAGCCAUGCCGCGUGUGUGAAGAAGGCCUUUUGGUUGUAAAGCACUUUAAGCGAGGAGGAGGCUACUGGUAUUAAUACUACUGGAUAGUGGACGUUACUCGCAGAAUAAGCACCGGCUAACUCUGUGCCAGCAGCCGCCGUAAUAC